AUUGAACGCUGGCGGCAUGCCUUACACAUGCGAGUCGAACGGUAACAGGUCUUCGGAUGCUGACGAGUGGCGAACGGGUGAGUAAUACAUCGGAACGUGCCCGAUCGUGGGGGAUAACGGAGCGAAAGCUUUGCUAAUACCGCAUACGAUCUACGGAUGAAAGCAGGGGACCGCAAGGCCUUGCGCGGACGGAGCGGCCGAUGGCAGAUUAGGUAGUUGGUGGGAUAAAAGCUUACCAAGCCGACGAUCUGUAGCUGGUCUGAGAGGACGACCAGCCACACUGGGACUGAAACACGGCCCAGACUCCUACGGGAGGCAGCAGUGGGGAAUUUUGGACAAUGGGCGAAAGCCUGAUCCAGCCAUGCCGCGUGCAGGAUGAAGGCCUUCGGGUUGUAAACUGCUUUUGUACGGAACGAAAAGACUCUUUCUAAUAAAGAGGGUCCAUGACGGUACCGUAAGAAUAAGCACCGGCUAACUACGUG
rnacentral:rRNA from 1 species